UCCGAGAGGAGACACUGGCGGGGGCUGGGCUGGGCAGUAAGGAGCCACACGCUUCUGUCAGGUGGUCACGCGGUGCCAUCGGUAUCAGGGUCAAAGUGACCUCACUGUAUGGAGCUAAGAAAAUCCCACCGGCUGGACAGCCGCUUUCUUCCCUGGGACUCUUGAUCUCUGUUCUGUGUGAUCAGCACUAGCGAGGCAACAGUUUGGACAUCAGGAGCGGGCUGUGACAACAGCUGGAAUAACCCAAUCCCUGCGUCGGUACCACAGGGCCGCCCUAGAAUGGUGGAUGGAGGCUCAGGAAGGCGAGGACACCUCGUGGGCACAGCCAGGGCCUGGCCUGGGAACAGCUCAGAGAUUUCACCCGAUGCCAGGGGACGUCUCUCCCAGGCGGCCGAGUCCCCAGAAGGAACGUCGUCGUCCUACGUGGCACAGGUGUGGCGCGGGAGAAACAAAGUGAAACCCAUGACCCAAAGCCGCGCAGCGCGCUGAGCCGGGGCCCUUCGUCUGCCAGGCCCGUGUGAGCCGGGCUGCUGUGGGGCAGUCUUCUUUAUUCUUUUUAAAACAGUGUAACAAAAUGUAUUUUCAUAAUUAAUUAUGGGCCAGUAGUGCGUUUAAACUAAAUGCAAUACUUCAAAGCACUCUGCACAAAG